rnacentral:misc_RNA from 1 species
GAGGGCGCUCUAUAGCGACUCGCACCGCGCCGACUUUCAGCCAAUUUGAGAAGACUGCAAGGACUUCAAAGUUGAAGGGGCCACCGGGGCCAGCAAGAUAUCUUGGAAGGGCAUUGCCCAGAUCCUCUAGCCCGACACGCGGCUGAUGUUGGGAGUUGCGUUUUGAGUCAGAGACAAGAUCCUCAAACAAAUCUGUCGCUCUGAGAUUGGGGAUUCGGGAAACAUUGGAACAGGCUUACUGUGAGCAAAAUGGCAGACAAGAAAAUCUGCCGUUUGGUUUGCACAGAUACAGGGACGAGUCUGAAACCUGUAGUAUUGACCAAUCAGGAGGCAGUCGUUCUAGGGCGAUGUCCCGUCACGGGAAUAUUGGACAAGAAGUUGUCACGGCAACAAGUGGAGGUAAAGGCGGAUUUCGAGUGCAGAGUUUUGCAUCUUAAACAGCUCAGUUCAAGUCCAUCAUUAAUUGAUGGAUCGUCUUUAAUACUGAAGGACCAAGAAACCACCAUUCCAAAUGGCGGCCGGUUCCAACUUCUCAACAACAAGUAUGAAUACCGAGUCAUCUUCCCGACCCCUCCAGCCCUGGAAAGCAAGCCCAAGCCCAGCCCCACGGGAAACAGCAGUGGAUCAACCGCCAAGCGAGCCAAAGGCGACAUUACAGACUUCUUCCAAAAGAAGCCAACAAAAAGGCGGAUCUCCGAAGAGGAGCCGUCUCAUCAAGAGGCCAAGAAGAAAGCAAAGCUUGAUGGUCCCACGAAAGUGACCUCAAAGAAAAAUUACAGAGGGACGGUCAGUGACAGUGAGAGUGAGGAUUCGCUGGACUCCAAAGACUUGAACAUCAUCCAGGAGACAUCUUCUAAGAAAAGGACCCAGCAACAGAAAGACUAUAAGGGAGCUGUGAGUGACAGUGACGACAGUGACGUCGGCAACAAGCAGCCUUCGACAAACGCACCAGGAAAGAAAAACUCUCACGCAGGAGUUAGAGACAGAGAUGGAGGAGAUACUUGCAAAGCUGAGAACUCAGUCGCAGCGAGAACACCUUUGAAUAAUAAAGAUUUUAAAAAGGCAACUUCUAAGGAUUACAAGGGAGCAGUCAGUGAUAGUGAUGAUAAUGACAGUGAUGGAUUGUCAGGAGAUAGAGUUCUGUCCGUCAGCAAAGUCAGCAAAGCGGAAACUCCAAAGGUCACAUCACUGAAGAAGUACCAUGGAGAAAUCAGCGACAGCAGUGAUGAGGAUGACAAUAAACAGGACCCUGAGUCGUCAGCCGUCAAGGCCAAACUGACAGCUCUACAGCAGAAUGCCAAACGUUAUCUGGCAAAGCAGUCUGCUGAUCGCCCGGAGACAACGCACCCCGACAGCUUGCCGCUGGCCACAAGCGGCACAGACGGAGCCGCUAACGCAGGGAAGCAAUUAGGGAAGCCUGCAGCCGAUUCCAAGUGGGAGGAGCAGGGGAAAUUGGUGGUGUACACAAGCCAGGGAGUGCAGGCCAGCAACAAGAUUGCAGGAUUUGACCUUGAUGGAACAAUCAUUACCACAAAGUCGGGAAAAGUGUUUGCUACAAGUGCUGACGAUUGGAGAAUUGUGUAUUCUGAGGUGCCGAGGACAUUAAAGAAACUGCAUUCUGAUGGAUACAAGGUUGUGCUGUUUACAAAUCAGCUCGGCAUCGGUAAGGGCAAGCUGAAAUUGGCUGACUUUAAACGGAAGGUUCUUGGAGUCCAAAGCAAGAUAGGAAUUCCCAUGCAGGCUUUGAUAGCAACAGGAGAAGGAGUUUAUCGAAAACCACAGACUGGCAUGUGGACCCAUCUAUGUAACCAUGGCAACGAUGGGAUUCAAGUCCACACAACAUCUUCUAAAUACAUCGGAGAUGCCGCAGGUCGGCCAGCUGACUGGGGCCCAGGAAAGAAAAAAGAUUUCUCUUGCAGCGACAGAUUGUUUGCUCUGAAUGUUGGCGUGUCUUUCCACACUCCGGAGGAGUUCUUCCUGGGCCAGAAGAAGAAUCGUUUUAGUCUUCCAGAAUUUGACCCUAGGAAGUUAUCAUCUGCUGGUCCUUUGCUGUCUCCACCUCAGGCACAGAUUCCUGCACAAGGGCAUCCUCAGGAGGUCAUCAUUCUGGUAGGAUUUCCUGCAUCUGGCAAGAGCAGCUUUGUCAAGAAACAUUUGCUGCCACACAAGUACGUGCACAUCAACAGGGAUGCCAUGGGAACCUGGCAGAAGUGUGUGGCUGCUACUGAGUCUGCCCUGGUCAAAGGUCAGAGUGUGGUCGUGGAUAACACUAACCCUGAUCCUGAGUCAAGACAGAGGUGGGUACUUUAAGGUCAAAGUGUGGUCGUGGAUAACACUAACCCUGAUCCUGAGUCAAGACAGAGGUGGGUACUUUAAGGUCAAAGUGUGUGGUUGUGGAUAACACUAACCCUGAUGCUGAGUCUAGACACAGGUGGGUGCUAGUGUGGUUGUGGAUAACACUAACCCUGAUCCUGAGUCAAGACAGAGGUACACCGCUUGUGCUAAGAAGGCCAAUGUUCACUGCAGAUGCUUUGUCCUCAAUGUCAGCCUUGACCAUGCCCGUCACAAUGAAAAGUUUCGACGGAUGACUGACUCCGCCAAGAACCACGCCCAGAUCAGU